GCGCAGGAAAAGAAACCAACAGGGAUUGCCUUAGUAACUGCGAGUGAGGCGGCAAAAGCUCAAAUUUGAAAUCUGGCGUCUUCGGCGUCCGAGUUGUAAUUUGAGAGAUUUCUUCGGGGUGAACACCGGUCCAUGUUCCUUGGAACAGGACGUCACAGAGGGUGAGAAUCCCGUGUCUGACCGGUUGCUUCAUUCCAUGUGAAGAGUCUUCGACGAGUCGAGUUGUUUGGGAAUGCAGCUCAAAAUGGGUGGUAAAUUUCAUCUAAAGCUAAAUAUUGGCGAGAGACCGAUAGCGCACAAGUAGAGUGAUCGAAAGAUGAAAAGCACUUUGAAAAGAGAGUUAAAAAGUACGUGAAAUUGUUGAAAGGGAAGCGCUUGAGACCAGACUCAAUUUGUGGUGAACAUCAGUCCUUCUGGGCUGUGCACUUGCCACUUUUUGGGCCAGCAUCGGUUCUGACCGUGUGAUAAAGGUCCUGGGAAUGUAGCUCCUCUCGGGGAGUGUUAUAGCCCAGGGCGUAAUGACAUGAGUUGGGACCGAGGACCGCGCUUCUGCUAGGAUGCUGGCAUAAUGGUCUUCAGCGACCCGACUUGAGUCACACACCAGGGAAUCUAACAUAUAUGCAAGUGUACGCGCUGGAAAACAAAUAGCUUUGGAAUGUAAGUGUAUCGGACGUGGCGGGCGGCAUCCCCCUUGGGGGGAGCCCACUGGAUGCUGUAUGUUUGACGGCACCAGAAAUCGAAUAGGGAAAUCCCCGGGACCCAGAGAGGCUAUGAAAUGCGUGGGCCAGGGGGCCCAUACGUUUUUUACCCAGGGUGGGAGGACUGGGAAACCCCCCUCAACAGGAGGAAUUAUAAUGGUGAUAUUAAAAUGUAUGUGAUGAGUAUUGAUGCGCAGUAGCA
rnacentral:rRNA from 1 species